CGGGGGAGGAGGGCGCGGGGUGGGUGGGGGCGCUUCCCUGCUUCUCGCUCGCUCGCUCCGCUGCUCCCGCCGCCCGGGAAGGAAAAGGCGUCCGUGCAGAUUGCAUUCUCCUCCUAGCUCCAGACCGGCGUGGAUCCAGAGGGCUCCUCCGCUUCCCAACCCAGCCUCUUCUCUCCUUUGCAGUUCGACGGGGGGGAAAGAUGGCGCCGUGUCCUACUUCGGAGUGAGUGUGUGUGGCCAGCGCGAGCGAGGAGACCCAAGUUAGGCAGAGGCUUUCCGCGGGGCGGAGGCAGAGAGAGAGAGAGAGAGACCGAGGAGUGCGCUCUUUCGACGGAGCUCCCGACCCACAAGCAGGCGGCUCCGGCGUCCCCACGAGCGCGCACACAAACACGCCCGCGGCCAGAGACCCGUCUGCCCGCACAAGCCUUAGUCAACACCCGCGAUGGAGCGAGAGGGAGAAGCAGAACUGCGCCGGUCUGUGUGCCAUAAAAAGCGCCCCCCCCUU